AGCUUUGCACAGUGGCAGUAUCGUAGCCACUGAGGUUUAUCCGAGGCGUGAUUAUUGCUAGUUGAAAAAAUCCCUUGCAAAAGCUGUUACCUUUCCUUCCCAGGUACAGACAUUUCAUCAAUAAAUAUUCUAUAAUG